rnacentral:rRNA from 1 species
GGAGGGUCCGAGCGUUAUCCGGAAUUACUGGGUUUAAAGGGUCCGCAGGCGGUCGAUUAAGUCAGAGGUGAAAUCCCAUAGCUCAACUAUGGAACUGCCUUUGAUACUGGUUGACUUGAGUCAUAUGGAAGUAGAUAGAAUGUGUAGUGUAGCGGUGAAAUGCAUAGAUAUUACACAGAAUACCAGUUGCGAAGGCAGUCUACUACGUAUGUACUGACGCUGAGGGACGAAAGCGUGGGGAGCGAACAGGAUUAGAUACCCUGGUAGUCCACGCCGUAAACGAUGGAUACUAGUUGUUGGGAUUUAUCUCAGUGACUAAGCGAAAGUGAUAAGUAUCCCACCUGGGAGUACGGUCGCAAGACUGAAACUCAAAGGAAUUGACGGGGCCCGCACAGGCUGGAGCAUGUGGUUAAUUCGAUGAUACGCGAGGAACCCUUA